UGGGCGCAGCCUGAUCCAGCCAUGCCGCGUGUGUGAAGAAGGCCCUCGGGUUGUAAAGCACUUUCAGUGGGGAAGAAGGCCUUGCGGUUAAUACCCGCGAGGAAGGACAUCACCCACAGAAGAAGCACCGGCUAACUCCGUGCCAGCAGCCGCGGUAAUACGGAGGGUGCGAGCGUUAAUCGGAAUUACUGGGCGUAAAGCGCGCGUAGGCGGCUUGAUAAGCCGGUUGUGAAAGCCCCGGGCUCAACCUGGGAAUGGCAUCCGGAACUGUCAGGCUAGAGUGCAGGAGAGGAAGGUAGAAUUCCCGGUGUAGCGGUGAAAUGCGUAGAGAUCGGGAGGAAUACCAGUGGCGAAGGCGGCCUUCUGGACUGACACUGACGCUGAGGUGCGAAAGCGUGGGUAGCAAACAGGAUUAGAUACCCUGGUAGUCCACGCCGUAAACGAUGUCGACUAGCCGUUGGGGUCCUCGAGACCUUUGUGGCGCAGUUAACGCGAUAAGUCGACCGCCUGGGGAGUACGGCCGCAAGGUUAAAACUCAAAUGAAUUGACGGGGGCCCGCACAAGCGGUGGAGCAUGUGGUUUAAUUCGAUGCAACGCGAAGAACCUUACCUACCCUUGACAUCCUCGGAAGCCGAAAGAGAUUUCGGUGUGCCUUCGGGAGCCGAGUGACAGGUGCUGCAUGGCUGUCGUCAGCUCGUGUUGUGAAAUGUUGGGUUAAGUCCCGUAACGAGCGCAACCCUUGUCCCUAUUUGCCAGCGAUUCGGUCGGGAACUCUAGGGAGACUGCCGGUGACAAACCGGAGGAAGG
rnacentral:rRNA from 1 species